UACGUAGGGGGCAAGCGUUGUCCGGAAUCAUUGGGCGUAAAGCGCGUGUAGGCGGCUCGGUAAGUCCGCUCUGAAAGUCCAGGGCUCAACCCUGGGAUGCGGGUGGAUACUGCCGGGCUCGAGUCCGGAAGAGGCGAGUGGAAUUCCUGGUGUAGCGGUGAAAUGCGCAGAUAUCAGGAGGAACACCGGUGGCGAAGGCGGAUCUCUGGGCCAUUACUGACGCUGAGGAGCGAAAGCGUGGGGAGCGAACAGG
rnacentral:rRNA from 1 species